CGGACGGGUGAGUAAUGUAUGGGGAUCUGCCUGAUGGCGGGGGAUAACUACUGGAAACGGUAGCUAAUACCGCACAAUGUCUACGGACCAAAGCGGGGGACCUCCGGGCCUCGCGCCAUCAGAUGAACCCAUAUGGGAUUAGCUUGUAGGUAAGGUAACGGCUUACCUAGGCGACGAUCCCUAGCUGGUCUGAGAGGAUGAUCAGCCACACUGGGACUGAGACACGGCCCAG
rnacentral:rRNA from 1 species